AGUGGGAGCGAGCUUGCUCGCGAUUGCGUUGGAUCAUUCAGCCUCGAUUAGGCUGAUACACCGCUAUCGCGAGCAAGCUCGCUCCCACA
rnacentral:antisense_RNA from 1 species